UUGUCUGUGUUGUCUGUUUGGAGCACUGGAGGCCUUCCCAGAGGAAAGUAGGUCAAGGGGCGUGGCCGCAUCAGCCCUGCUCAGCCGUUUCUUCAGAGCUGCAGCAACUCUCCAUGAUUCAAUACUGCAGUACUUAAACCCGGGCUGAUCACCUCUACAGCGCCAGUUCGUUAACUACAAACCCAUGUGAGAGAAAAAAAACAUGGAUUACGAUGUCUGAUGCCAGAAGUGGAAGUCCCUGAAGCGCAACGAAGUGGAAGUCCCUGAAGCGCAACAGCACUGAGAGUACAAAGACGAAUACUUCCAUACCCACUACCCUACCCAUCCUCUGAUGGCUCAGUUUGUUGAUUCAUCCUAAUGUCUUCUAUUUAAGAAUGAAGGAGGACACUGUGUUCUUGGAAAAUUAUGUUGUAAAUGUCUGAAUAUUAUGUAUCUUUAGGGGUGGGGCUGGCCCUGAUAUCGGUUUAGGGGUGGGGCUGGCCCUGAUAUCUGUUUAGGGAUGGGGCUGGCCCUGAUAUCUGUUUAAGGGUGGGGCUGGCCCUGAUAUCUGUUUAGGGGUGGGGCUAACCCUGAUAUCUGUUUAGGGGUGGUGCUGGCCCUGAUAUCUGUUUAGGGGUGGUGCUGGCCCUGAUAACGGUUUAGGGAUGGGGCUGGCCCUGAUAUCUGUUUAAGGGUGGGGCUGGCCCUAAUAUCUGUUUAGGGGUGGGGCUAACCCUGAUAUCUGUUUAGGGGUGGUGCUGGCCCUGAUAUCUGUUUAGGGGUGGUGCUGGCCCUGAUAUCUGUUUAGGGGUGGUGCUGGCCCUGAUAUCUGUUUAGGGGUGGUGCUGGCCCUGAUAUCUGUUUAGGGGUGGUGCUGGCCCUGAUAUCUGUUUAUGUUUGCUGUUUUAGUUGGUGGUGGACCUGAUAGCUUUUUGGGGCAGAGGUCAGCCUGAACUCUGUUUUGUCUUCCACCUCCCCUUCUCCUCUACUAGGGGGUGUCAGUGUGUCAGAACAGGAAGGAGGAGGAGGGUCUAGAACAGCUGCUGUAGAUCAGAGAGACUCAGUAUCAACACAGUAUCAACACAGCAUGGAACUCACACCACUCUGCUGGAUAUUCUUGAUGUUCAGUACACAGGUAGACUAUAGACUCAGUCAAGGAGUACAUGCUUGGUCACCUCCAGUCUCUAUGAUCAUAAAUCCCAACAGACUUCAGUUCUUUGAAUAUGAGUCUGUCUCUCUGAGCUGUGAAGUUCAGGGGAACUCUACUGCAUGGAGACUGAAGAGAUACACAGUGACUAGGAAGUUGUCAGAUUGUGGAACAGACUGGGGAAUGAAACAAGAAUC